rnacentral:rRNA from 1 species
GAUGAACGCUGGCGGCGUGCCUAACACAUGCAAGUCGAACGGAGUCCAGCCUUAGAGACCUUCGGGUCAAAGAGGGGAAGACUGAGUGGCGGACGGGUGAGUAACACGUGGGCAACCUGGCUCAUAGAGGGGGAUAACAGAGAGAAAUUUCUGCUAAUACCGCAUAAGCACACACUGCCGCAUGGCAGAGUGUGAAAAGAGAAUCGCUAUGAGAUGGACCCGCGUCUGAUUAGCCAGUUGGCAGGGUAAGAGCCUACCAAAGCGACGAUCAGUAGCCGAUUUGAGAGGAUGAACGGCCACAUUGGGACUGGGACACGGCCCAAACUCCUACGGGAGGCAGCAGUGGGGGAUAUUGCACAAUGGGGGGAACCCUGAUGCAGCGACGCCGCGUGAGUGAAGAAGUAUUUCGGUAUGUAAAGCUCUAUCAGCAGGGAAGAUAAUGACAGUACCUGAAGAAGAAGCCCCGGCUAACUACGUG